GUGAGUAAUGUUCUCCAUCUUCCCAUUACAAUUAAAGAUAAGAUAAUUCUACAUGAUACCAACUAUAUUUCAAAGGAAUUGAACAACACAUUAAUUAAAUUUGAUAAGUUUAAUCAAGAACAUCAUCACAUUUCAAUUGCAAUUUUACACAUCAAAUCUCAAUAAAAUAUAAGUAUACCACACAAAAUCACCAACAAUUUUCCUGUAUACAAGGUAAGGCCUUCCACAACAAUAUAAAAAAAAUCACUGUCAUCCAUUGCACACAAAUAGGUGAAAAAUCCAAAUUUCACACACACAAAAUUUUCUAUUAGAAUUGCUCAAAAUGGACUCAAUUUCAUCCAAACACACCUCAUUUACCCAAGGCCUGUUUCACUUGAUAAAGAUCAGAAAUCCAAAAAAUGAAUGUACAGUCACACACACAUAUCAUUCAACUUCUUUUUUAUGAAGUUUAUUGAAAUUUAAAGAAACCAUAUUUUCAUUGCAGGUUGCAUCACUCUAUUUAUGUGGAGGUUCACGUCGAAUCAUGGCCGAAAGAAAAUAACUGAAACUUUGCAUGUUUUAUGGGACUUUCCUUAUGAGAGGUGGGUGAUUUGGCUUUUGACUAGCUGAUUUUGCACGUGCUUGACUUCGAUGUAAACAAACUCUCACGCCUUGCUGGAUGGGUAUGUAUUUUUUGGUAUGAAAAUGCUCAUUAAGAACUGUACUACAUGAUGUGAAAGUAGAACUUCUGAAAAGUUUACUCUAAGGAAGCAGGGUCAGGUCAAAGGUGAAUAAUUUCGGUAAGAACAUAUAGGCAAAAUUAAUAGAGUGGUGCAACCUGCAAUUACUUUCGACGCGUGAUAAAAGUCAGAAUGGAUCCGUAUCCCGAAAGUCCCGUAUUGAGUUCCCUGUCUAAUUUUGAUCGGGAUUGAAACCCUAAAAACACUAUAAAACACACACACACACACACACACACACACACACACACACACACACACACAUACUGGUUUUACCAACCUACAGAGGUAUAGCAGUUUUCGGUAACAUUCCGAGGUCACCGUCAAACAAGAGGAAUUCUGCAAAAUUUUGCGCAUCUGAUGCAUGUCCCCAACGAUAUUAAUCUGGAUUUGACCCAACAAAUCAAUUUCAUCGUUUCAUUUGUGAACUAUAAAGCAUAACAAUUUCAAUAUCAAACGAGGUACAAAUAAAAGUAUGCACUAUGCUCGAGGUACUAUCAAAUCAUCUAUUUUUAGAAUAAAUGAGAAAGUAGUAUUUUUAAAGAAUAUAAUGUAUUGAACAUGCACAUCUAUCAAAAUAUUCUUAUGAGGCCUACAGAUAAGUAUAAAUAAGACCCAGAGGACACCUAAAACCACAUAAAAUGUAGAUAGUCUUUAGAAUUAAAAAAGAUGAAAAUUGGGAUUCCCCCUUCUUUCACUUUCAUUUUCAAAGGUUUUGCAAACAGACGAAAUAUCAAAUGGAAAACGAAUAUAUGAUUUGAUACCAUGAGUAUUCAAUUAUAAAGAGAAAGUUUGAAAAGUUUUCACAUACUGAAUCAUUUUAGGUGAGAGAAAGGCUACAUGAACAGAAUAAUCGUCCAUUAAAACGUGUGCCGAGAAGGAAAAACUAAUGGUACUACAUAUAACCAACCUUAUAUUUUCUAUUAUCCAACAACUUGUGUACCGAUAUUAACAUCUUAUACACACUAUCUAAGAGGGGGUGUUGUUAAAACGCUGAACGGAAAACUAAACAGAAGACGGAACAGAACGGAAAAUAUUGUAUGCAAUAAUGUUAUGAGGAGGUCAGCAGUUUAUAAAAGAAAAAGUUUAUCAUGAAC